UUAGCAAGCCCAUGCUGAUGCAACCCCCUGAGGUACCACACUCUUGUAAAAAAUGAAAAAGGGUGGAACAGUUCCCUCGAAUGCUCUCUGGUGGUUGAACUCUCCCUGUUCUGGCUCCAGCAGGUCUUUGGAAUUCUCGCUAAUUUAUCUCAGCGGCUCCACAGUGUCUCCAAGUAGUUUUUGACCAAGUACCGGAAGUACUUGCUGUCUGAGACCCAUUCCAGCUCAGCACCAUAUCCAGCCGACCCGCCCUCACUCACAGCUCUGUUGGCUGGUUGCCACCACGCCAGCCCUUAAGAAUAGUCAUGGCAACCUGUGACUAUGCACAGAGAAGAGUCUUAACGCCUACCGCCAUGUUCUCUCAGCUCCUGCUUCUCGAUCCCACUUCCUCUUGUCUUCUCCCUCCCUUCUAAAACUUCUGUUCCCGCCUUCCUCCCUUCUCACCCAAUGACAGGCCUCGUUUUAUCUUGUCUGCCUUCAACUGCAUAAUGACAUCAACCUACACCAUACGACGGGUCUAGUAUAAAAUGAAGUUUAUUUGGGAGCAUGGCAUGAGAAUGGGGGAGCAGUUUCCUGAAAUCGGCAAUGUUGACCUCAAGUCCUGCAGAAUUCAUAACACCUCAUCACAUGGAGAAGAAAGGGGAUGAGGAGGGCAAUUUCCACCUGGAAGAAGAGCAAACGUAUUCAGUGUUAAGAGUACAGGAUGACUUCAGCGGAGUAUGAUCUCUGGGGUUCAGUAGCAGAAUUAAGGCUCUACUCUGAGAUAUUCAAGAAACUGGAUGAGAACUCAGCGGAGUAGCACUCUGAAGUUUUAAGUGGCCUCAGGUUAGGUCAUUAACUGUGGCUGUAAGGUCCAGCAAAGGUUUCAGCCUCAGAGUGUAAGAGGUGCUUUCGUCACAGCGCAUCGCUAUAUCCCCUUCCCGAUGGGACGACGGACAUUAGAGCUGGCAGCACCUGACUCUCACGUCGUACAUUCAGAAAACGAAGACUUCAAAUGUUUGAGUGCUUGCGUAUUCCGCAUCAGACUUCAUCAGGUCAAGCCCUGGAGCUGUAUGGAAGAAGCAUGGUGGCCCGUGACGGUCAGCCCUCUUGACACUUGGUUAUAGGUGUGCGCUGCUUGAGCCACUCGGGUGUAAAUGUUACGUAAAACCC